CUUUGCACACGCGGGAGCUCGGAGCACCGGGCUGAGAGGGCGCUGGGAUCGCCGUACAUCCGUACGGGACACGCUGCGCCGACCGCCGAACCUGUUACCGGGUAAUGCCGGCGUAGGGAGUAGGUCUCAUGACCAC
rnacentral:ncRNA from 3 species